rnacentral:lncRNA from 1 species
CUUCUCUGGAAAAAAAUAUUGGGCCUCCAGAAAUUAAUCAUAGUAUGUCCAAGGUCCCAAUACUUUGUCCUGCCACCUGUCCCGACAUUUAGUUCAUAGUAGCCCACCCAGAAGGUGGCUGCAGGUACAUGUCAUGAAAAUCCCACAAAAUCGGAUACAUUUGGGUAAUACAAUUUCCCAAAGCAAAACUGGCAAAUUACAUAAGAGAUAUGUAUCUUAAAUCUAGAGUUCUGUGAGUUAUUUUUUGUAAAUACGUUUGACAAAUAGAAACAGAUUCUUACGAUUAAUCUUCCUUGGGCAGUUGGGGUUCACUUGAAAGCUUCUUAGAAAGUUCUUUGGUGACUUUCCAUCAAAGCAAUAAAUUUAAGAUUAAAAGCUAUCACUUUAUAAAAUUUCUUUUUAGCUACAAAUUUAAAUUUAUGAAACCUAGAUUUAGGUUUUAUACCUACCAUACCCGAGAACAUACCAAGUCUAAUUAGCUUCAUUUUAUGGGAGCUUUUGGAUGAUUAUAUAUUUUUAUGGAGGCCAGCAAAGGCCAUCAGCAGUAAGACAUGGGUUAAAGAAUACAGAGGGGCAGAAAAGAGUAAUAGAAGGGUUUGUGAGAGGACAUUCUGAGUUGAAAUAUAGAAUUAACAUAUUUUGUUUCUUUUUUUUCCCCCUUUAGCUGAAAAUGAUGGUAAAGUAUAACUUUAUUUCUCUUUCUUUGCAAAAUAAAUAGCUACUUGAGUAAACAUCCAUAAUACCAUUCUCAGCUGAUAGAAACUGAUACCAGUCUAUUUGAGAAGCUAAUAUUCCCUCAAAGGAAUGUGGACUCACUAGCACUGCCUCGGAAUAAAGACAACUAUAAGGGAUACAAAAAAGAAUUUCCAACAAAAUAUGUUUCUCCCAGCUUAGGAAAUUCUCAGCUAUUAGAAUCUCCAAAAUAGACCUUGCCUGUUACACAGAUCCUGAGAUUAGCAGAAAGUCAUGGGUUCUCU